GAGGGUAUAGCUCAGUGGCAGAGCGCGUGCUUAGCAUGCACGAGGUCCUGGGUUCAAUCCCCAGUACCUCCA
rnacentral:tRNA from 1 species